ACCCAAAUAACUCAAUUAUUAAUAAAUUUACACGGAUCUCCUUUGCUAUUGUAUGCUAGUAAUCUCUCGACCUCUUCCUUGAAUGAAAAAACAGUAUAAAUUUGUUUGAGAGUGAAACAAUCCGAAAAAAGCGAUUUGAUCUGUUCACUAUCCUCAGAUAUGGCGGCUUGAUUUCGAUAUAUUUUUCUUUUUAGUGCGAAUAUUUUUGAUACUUUAAUUAUCAAAUCUUCAAUUUUAUUCUAAUCUGUAAAUCCUGAG
rnacentral:lncRNA from 1 species